GCGGACGUCGUAUAGUGGUAAUACCUUAGCCUUCCAAGCUAAAGCUGCGGGUUCGAUUCCCGCCGUCCGCUCCA
rnacentral:tRNA from 8 species